UCCAGGUUAUUUCAACUCUUUAUCAAUAAUGAAUUCCUUUUGUUUCUAGGUUCUUCCCAGUUGGCAUGUAUUUAUUGAUGUCCACAUUUGGUAAUUGUUAACACUGUUUUGUUAGAAAUUGUAAAUGCUACACAAGUAAAAAAAAUCGUCAAGCAUAAAAUUUCUUUGAAUUAUAUUCUUAAAUGGUUUUGUAAGACUUUAAUUUCGUUGCUUCCAAAUAUCUCAAAUGUCAUUAGAAACUUUGAUGUAGUUGAUCACAUUUCUAGCUUAGGUGUGGUAUGUAGUCGCAAAGAUAUUUGAUCUUUAAUCAACUUUUGCACAACAAAAAUUUAAUAUCCUCCCUACUGUUUCUGCGUGUAAUUUCAACAAUACGUGUAAAUUAAAAUCGUACAUGUUAUUGUUAAUCAGGUGUUACUGCUGUCCUCGCCAAGUUCUACCUUGAAAUCGUUUUACCCGGUGAAAUCAUGCAGUGACAAACCUGAUGAGAUGCUUCAAAACUGUACGCAAGCUGAUGAGACUAUUCACUGCCUCUCGGAUGAACACAACAACACUGGUAUCGGCUGUUUCACAGUGGCUUGGAUAAACAAAGAUAAAUGUCCGUAUUAUGAUUCUUACCAAGGAAGUAUGGAUGAAAAAACAUGUUCUAAAGAGGAUGGCAAUUGUCCUACGAAACUGUAUAAAUCACCAUUAUCAAUUAAAUCGAAAAAUGCGAGAGUGGUUGGAGGAUCGGGUUCUUUGUUCUUGUUGCCAUAUUCCCUCUGGCUUUAGCUGCAGUCGUCUUUGUUAUGAAAAACAAACGUUGUCGUCCUUGCAAUAAAGAGAGAAGCGGGAAAAGUAAAAAAGGUAAAAGUGUAGAUUUAAAAAAUUCAAAUUCAAUGUAAUAAAUACAGUUACAAUUGAUACACACUCGAUUUAUACCUU